rnacentral:rRNA from 11 species
UCCCAACAGUCUGUACCGAAUCCGCAGCAGGUCUCCAAGGUUAAGAGUCUCUAGUCGAUAGACCAAUGUAGGUAAGGGAAGUCGCCAAAUUCGAUCCGUAACUUCGGGAUAAGGAUUGGCUCUGAAGAUUGAGGUAACUCGGACUGGGCAUAAACCACAAUUGA